rnacentral:rRNA from 1 species
GUCUACGGUCAUGCCACCCUGAACAAGCUCGAUGUCUGAUCUCAGAAGCUAAGCAGGGUCGGGCCUGGUUAGUACUUGGAUGGGAGACCACCUAGGAAGACCAGGUGCUGUAGGCA